GCUCCAGGCAUUGACAGACACACCAAUAGACAAAGCAUGGAUACUUGCAGGUUGUGUUGACCAAAUGUCAGAUGGGGUCUGCAGUGAGCCAGCAAGCAAAUGAGGUUAUAGAGCCAAGUAAGCCAACCUCCUCUCCAGCAGAGAUUCCGGUUGGUGAAACUUCCUCCCCCUCUUCAUUCAUACCCCCUGCCAUAAUUGUCACUGCCCCAUCCAAAGAGGACCUCUAUGCUCAGCCACCCACCAAAACAAUAGAGGAGGCAAACAAGGAGCCACGACCUAGAAGGCAACCAAUCUGUGUUGGUAGAGCCAUCACUAACAAGGCAUAACGAUUUUGGAAAAAGUAAGGUCACAUAAAUACUACAGGCCUGCCAUCCCCUUGAGCCAAUGAUUCCCUAUUCAUCUGUGCUAUAUGAGUGCUAGAUGUACCAAUUGCAGUAAUCCAUUAUAAGAAGUGGUAAUAGAUAUGUACAGAUUUGAGGAACAAAGUCAUUUCUGGUGCUUUUUGGAUGCAUUACAUAUAUUUGUUGAAAAAGUGGGGAUAUUAUUGUACUAUUUAAUUUAUAUGAGGAAUGAUUCAAGUAGAUAUCGUCAUAUUUGUGGGGGAAAAAAAGCAAUUUCUAAAUAAACAAAGUAAUUUAAUUUCUGAGGGGAAGCGGAUCUCACCAUCUUGAACCCCGGGAAAGCUUGUAGUCGUCCAUUUAAUAGACAAAGCACCGAGUGUGUGGUUUCCUGCCAUUCAUACUGUUUUGAAUGUUUCUGGACGUAUAUUCGCGUACUGGUCACAUUUUCUGUCAUCACAGUACAGCAAAGGGCGAAUGAACCAUCAUCUUGGGCGUCCAAAUAACAAUGGAGAACGCUGCAGAUACUGACCCGGACCCCAUAAAGCUGAAGUCGAUCAAGAACAACAGAACGUUCACAGUACCGCAAAAACACAGGUUUGGGAACUGUAGGAGUGUGAAAGAAUUUGAGAAACUGAACCGAAUCGGCGAGGGAACAUAUGGAAUUGUGUACAGAGCUCGAGACACCAGGUCUGAUGAUAUUGUAGCACUGAAGAAGGUCCGGAUGGACAAGGAAAAGGAUGGGAUCCCUAUCAGUAGUCUGAGAGAGAUCACCCUGUUGCUCAAACUCAGACACCCCAACAUAGUGGAGUUAAAGGAGGUGGUGGUGGGAAGUCACCUGGAGAGUCUCUUCCUAGUUAUGAGUUACUGUGAGCAGGACCUGGCCAGUCUGCUGGAAAACAUGCCAACACCUUUCUCAGAGGCACAGGUGAAGUGUAUAGCUCUGCAGCUGCUGAGAGGUCUGGAUUAUCUUCACCUCAACUUUAUUCUGCACAGGGAUCUGAAGGUGUCCAAUCUGCUGAUGACAGACAAAGGCUGUGUAAAGAUUGCUGACUUUGGCUUGGCACGUUGCUACGGUAUCCCCCUACAGCCUAUGACGCCCCGGGUGGUGACAUUGUGGUAUAGAGCACCAGAGCUCCUCCUAGGGACCAAGACUCAGACCACAGCCUUAGACAUGUGGGCGGUGGGCUGCAUCCUGGCUGAGCUGCUUGCACAUAAACCUCUGCUGCCAGGGGGUUCUGAGAUCCAACAGGUGGACCUCAUAGUGCAACUGUUGGGUACCCCUAAUGAAAACAUCUGGCCGACAGAAGAAUGCACGAUCAAGAAGGGAUACAUAGAGAGCAGUUGCUUCGCGAGGGCUUCACUCGUCUUCCCCUAGUUGGACAGUACAGUUUGAGGAAACAACCAUACAACAAUUUGAAGAAUAAGUUCACCUGGUUGUCUGAUGCAGGGCUGCGUUUACUCAACCUUCUCUUCAUGUACAAUCCUCUACGCAGGGCCACAGCUAAGGACUGCUUGGAGAGUUCCUACUUUAAGGAGAAACCUUUGCCUUGUGAGGCUGACUUGAUGCCAACCUUCCCUCAUCAUCGCAAUAAAAGGGCAGCCCCAGCUGUAGAGAGCCAAUCAAAACGCAAUAAAGUGUAACUUCAUUAACAUCCUUGAUCGCAGUUUAAAUAAAUGAAUGAAUAUCUUAAUGUUUACUACUACACAGAUUAUGCACCUGGUUGUAAAAAUGUGUUGUCAUAGAAUGCAUGUACCUAGCAGUAAUUAUCCAAAUCAAUGGGGUGAUGGUAGUAUUCAAGCUUUCAAGUAUUCCACAGUUCAGUCCUCAGUUACUGCUUACAAAAUCCUAUUUCUUUCACUGUGUGUCUGAUGAAUAUCCAAAAGUAUGUGAUUAACAUGCAUAAGUUAAAUUUAAUUCACCAAUGUUGCUUUGUUUUUUGAAUGGAUGUUGGUUAACCUUUGGCAGGUUCAAGUAACCAAUAGGAUUUGGUUUGCUGUAUUCAUGUACAUAGACAUUUUUUAUCCCAUGAAAUUCAAUGAAUAUUGUAGUUUUAGUUUUUAAUAAACUGCUUUUUCAAAUUAA